rnacentral:rRNA from 1 species
UACGUAGGCAGCGAGCGUUGUUCGGAAUUACUGGGCGUAAAGAGUGUGUAGGCGGUGCUCUAAGUUCGGUGUGAAAUCUCCUGGCUCAACUGGGAGGGUGCGCCGGAAACUGGAGUGCUUGAGCGUGGGAGAGGAAAGCGGAAUUCCUGGUGUAGCGGUGAAAUGCGCAGAUAUCAGGAAGAACACCCGUGGCUAAGGCGGCUCUCUAGUACGGUACUGACGCUGAGACGCGAAAGCGUGGGGAGCGAACAGG